CCUUCCCAGUAUCCAACCCUGCUCCCAGUUUAACUCAGUGGGCCAAAUCCAGGGAGAAAUCCCAUGGCAGUGCCAGGAACCCCCAUCCAUGGUGGGAGCUGCUCAAGUUUCCCUCUGGAUUUCAUUCCCAGGGAGGAAAUGGGCUGGGAGCUUUAUCAGGAGCAGCUGUUCCCAUUCCCAGAGAUUCCGUGGAGAUGGGAGAGGGUUACAGAAAAUGAGGGAGGCAGGAUCUGCUCGGAAGGUUUGGAUUUGAUCUAAGUGGGAAUUUUGCAAUGGGUUCUGUCUUUAUUAGAAUUAUAAUUAUCAUUGUUUUGUUCCAGGCAGCAGCUCAGGCUCCCCAUUAUUUUUAAUUGGCUUCUUUCCUCGUUAGAUGGAACACAGAUUCGUCAGCGGGCACAAUUCCUCACGGAAUGCAAACCCAGGCACCGAAUGUCCGGGCUCCAGCAGUUCUGGAUAAACACUGAGCGUUUCUAUAGUGGGAAAUGCUCCCUUAGGGAAUUCUCUGUCCUGGGGAUGUGGGACACGGCCGAGCUGUCCUGUCCCCGCACAGGGAUGGAUUCAGCCUCGGGGAAAACAAUUGGAGGGCAGGAAAUAGGUGGGAAUAGGAGGGACAGAAUUCCCAAAGGUGCAUUCCUGCUGCAAUUGUCUUGGAGCAGGUAAAUACCCGGGAAUUUGGUAUUUGAACCAGGAACUUGGCUCAGCUGCUGGAAUAACCACCGGGGCUCCGGAAAUGCUGGAAUUCUCCUCCAUUGCCUCCAAUCCUGAACAAUGGUCCCAAACUCCUCGGAGUGCCCAGACAUCAUCGCUCCCCCCGGGCAGGACAAGGAGCCGUAUCCGGCCAUUCCCGCUGGGAUUUCAGCGCUCUUUGUCCUCCAGGGCUUCCUGUCCUUGGAAAGCAGGGAAAGGGGCCAGGAGCUAAAAAAGGAGCAAAUCCCAGGUAUUCCAGCUCCUUGUGCUUUUCCCAAGGCUCCAGGAGCGUUGGAGAGUCACGUUCUCUCUUCCAGCAGAAGGAGAUUCCUGCAGAGCGACCAACCCCAUUCCAAAGGAAAACCAAAAAAUAAAGACGAGACAGAAGGAAGGGAAUCUCCUUCUUUUAUGGACGGAAAAAUAAGGGCAAUAAAUCCAAAGCAAACCCCCUGCGCCCCAGGGCUGGCAGGAGGGGUCUGAAUCCCAGAGUUUGUGGUGGUGGUGUUGGGAAAAGUCCAGUUGAGCUCCAGGCACCGUGGGCAGCCCAUCCCGUGCUCUCCAGGGCACUCCCGGGCACGGCUGCCCUGGCAUCGGCUCCUUGGCAUCGGCUCCUUGGCAUCGGCUCCAUGUCCCGUCCCUCCCGCCAGCAGAAAGGCCAGCGGUGCUCAGUGUCACCUCAGGGUGCUCGGUGUGACUGUGGCGCGCUCGGUGUGACCCACGUGCACUCGGUGUCACCUUGGGGUGCUCACUGUGACUGCAGCGCUGCUUGGUGUGACCUGGGCGUACUCGGCGUGAUCGUGGCGCUGUUCUGGGUGACCUCAGUGCUGCUCAGUGUCACCAUGGUGCUGCUUGGUGUCACCUCAGGGUGCUCAGUGUGACCACGGCACUGUUCAGAGGGACCCGGGUGUGCUCGGUGUCACCUUGGCGCCACUCAGCGUGACCCGGGCACUGCUUGGUGUCACUGUGGUGCUGCUCACUGUGACCAUGGCGUGCUCAGUAUGACCAUGGUUGUGCUUGGUGUCACCUGGGUGCUGCUUGGUGUGAUGGCAGCAUUGACUGCUUGAUGUGACUGGGCACACUCAGUGUGACCAUGGCACUGCUCAGUGACACCUCAGCACUGCUUGGUGUGACCGUGGUACUGCUCAGUGUCACCUUGGCUCUGCUUGGUGUGACGACAGCGCUGCUUGAUGUGACAUGGGCACUGCUUGAUGUGACUUGGGCACACUCCGUGUGGCCCCAGCGCUGCUCAGUGUCACCUCAGCGGUGCUUGGUGUCACCUUGGGGUGCUCAGUGUCACCUCAGCGCUGCUCGGUGUGUCCACGGCACUGCUUAGUGUCACCUUGGCACUGCUUGACGUGACCUGGACUGUAACAGAUAGGGCAACACCUGGACACACUCUGUGUGACCACAGCACUGCUCAGUGUCACCUCAGCAGUGCUCAGUGUCAUCUUGGGGUGCUUGGUGUGAUGGCAGCACUGCU
rnacentral:lncRNA from 1 species